AGCAGUCGCCGGUUCAACUUUCGCAAAUUGUAAGUUAAAUUUGUUAUUCCUCACACAUAGAAUAUGCUAGUUGACACUACUAAUAUGUUCUACAUUUCACAGGCGCAGAAUGAAACCCAAGCAUCCUGUCACUGGUUGGAAGCAGAUUCCUAAUGGGAAAUAUAUAAACAUUGUUCCCUUCUUUCCCCAAAUCUGGGCUCGACGGAGAAUCUUCGACGGCAGCAAUAACUGGAUCCUUGCGAAAAUAUAAAACUUAUAUAAUAUAUAUAAAAAAACAAGUCAGAGGAGACUUUAACUGUACAAUUUUUCUCAUCCUUGUUUUACAAUAAAAUAAAAUGGCUACGA